CACCAUUUGAUGGGACAUGAAGUCGAGAUGCAGGUGGUUCGAAAUACUUUGCCUCGUCGAUUUGGCGCUCCAGGUCUUCCAGAGUUGAAUGCAUCUCAGCUACAAUAAUCGGGCAAUUAUGGAGGCUGCUCAAGUACUGCUUUAUUUCGGAGUUGAACAAAUCAUCUAUGUUUCUGAAAUGACGCACUGCUAAAUAAAGGUCUAUUCUCCGAAGACUGCGCCUUAUGCUAGUGAGGAAAAUGAUGUGGUUCGUGAGCAAUGGGCUAAGUUUUAUACCAGCAUGUAUUUAUUAUUGAUCUGAGGGCGCUUGAUCGAGUUGGUUUAGAUGUUAUAGAACAAUUUUUUAUGUUGAAAUGUAUGCUUACAUUGAAAUUGGAACGUACAUAUAUUUAUUUAAAUGUAUAUAUAUGGUACGUGCACUUUGGUUUUGGGAUAUAUAUACAAAACACCAGUUAUUGUUUUUA